GCGUUGUCCGGAAUCAUUGGGCGUAAAGCGCGUGUAGGCGGCUCGAUAAGUCUGCUGUGAAAGUCCAGGGCUCAACCCUGGAAAGCCGGUGGAAACUGUCGAGCUAGAGUCCGGAAGAGGCGAGUGGAAUUCCUGGUGUAGCGGUGAAAUGCGCAGAUAUCAGGAGGAACACCAAUGGCGAAGGCAGCUCGCUGGGACGGUACUGACGCUGAGACGCGAAAGCGUG
rnacentral:rRNA from 1 species